rnacentral:misc_RNA from 1 species
GAUGAAGAACGCAGCGAAAUGCGAUAAGUAAUGUGAAUUGCAGAAUUCAGUGAAUCAUCGAAUCUUUGAACGCACCUUGCACUCCUUGGUAUUCCGAGGAGUACGCCUGUUCGAGUGUUAUGAAGCUCUCAAAACGCAAUUGGCUUAAAACCUGAUUGUUGUUUUGGAUUUGAACUUUGCCGUGUUAUAACGGCUGGUUUUAAAAGUAUUAGCUGGUACUAGAACGAAUUGGUUCUACUCAACGUGAUAAUUAUCUGAUCGUUGAGGACAUUCCUUUCACGAGGAAUGGCCAUAGUAAAUUCAAUGGACUGCUUCUAAUCUGGCUUUAAUUCUUUAUUGGAUUAACCACUUUUCAAAUCUGACCUCGAAUCAGGUGGGACUACCCGCUGAACUUAAGCAUAUCAAUAAGCGGAGGA